rnacentral:misc_RNA from 1 species
GAAGAGACAUGACGUACAUACGCCAUAUUCGCCAUGUUUUGAUGUCGUCAUCCCCCCCGAACGCCGUUCGCCAAGUGCAGCACAAUAGUCUGUGUUUUGUAGUGAGUGUUUUCCCGUAACAGUGCGCUCGGCGCGUUCCUGGUGAUUCGGCCCGUUGAGUCAUUCGGCGCCCUCCCCGUAGCACGUAGAUCGCACGCACGCCGCUGGAAGCUGGAUAACCCGACAGAUCGCGACCACCUCGUAGAAGCUUCGCUAAACGUGAGCGCUCGAGCCUUUUUAUGUUCGAGGAAGUGGUGCGACCGCGGUGCGGGGGGGGGUUCGUGAGCGUCGUCUACGUGGUGAUCGUGCCCUAGUGCGGGACGAGCUAACGUCAUAACGCCGUGGUAUAAUAUCAUCCUUGUUUCAACUUAUAAGUUAGCACUGCCUCUUCCUCGCUAUUGGCCGCCGCUUGCGUGGGCUCCUUCAACGGACGGCCAGUCACUCGAUACCGUCAGCGGUUCCGCGGUUACAUCACGUCACCCUGAGCGGGCGGAUCCAGCGGGUCCCUCGGAUCCGUGCGGAGAGAGAGAGAGAAAGAGCGUCUGGCUCUUGGCGUGCGUACGUGCGUGCGUGCGUACGUGAGUGCGUGCGUGCGUACGUGCGUGCGUGCGCGCGUAUGUCUGCUCCUUUUUUCGCCUGCCGAACACGAGGAGGAAAAUGGAGCUACGUUUGCACUCGCCAGCGGGAGCGGAACCGAUCGUGUAUCAGUGGCCGCUCACUUCCGGCUCGGGAUCUGACCGUCAUGAUGGAGCACUGGACGUUGUCGAAACCAUGCGAUGGGUUUGCGAAGAUUUGCCAGACCUGAAAUUACCUUUAGAAAAUAAUAUUCUUUGUAAUUACGAUACCAGAGACUAUGAAAGUAUGAAAAAUUUAUGCGACAGAUUCAACAGAGCAAUUGAUAGUUUAGUACAAUUGGAGAAAGGCACUAGUCUACCAUCCCAGAGACUAAAUAAGAGACCUAGUAGGGGUUUACUUCGUCAUAUAUUGCAGCAAACAUAUAAUCAAGCUGUGGUUGAGCCAGAUAAGUUAAAUCAGUACGAGCCUUUUUCACCUGAGGUAUAUGGCGAAACGAGCUAUGAGCUUGUAUGUCAGAUGAUCGAUCAGAUUGACGUGACAGAGAAUGAUGUCUUUGUUGAUCUGGGUUCCGGAGUUGGUCAAGUGGUUCUUCAAAUGGCAGCUGCUACCUUGUGCAAAAUUUGCAUAGGUGUAGAGAGGGCCGAUGUACCAUCGAAAUACGCACAGAGUAUGGAAGUGAAUUUUCGCAAAUGGUUAAAUUGGUACGGAAAACGGUGUGGGGAGUACCGUUUGGUGAAAGGGGACUUUUUAGCAGAUGAACACCGCGAAAGCAUUACCGGAGCUACGAUAGUGUUUGUUAAUAACUUUGCGUUCGGCCCAACGGUGGAUCAUCAAUUAAAAUUACGCUUCGCCGAUUUACGGGACGGCGCGCGUAUAGUAUCGUCAAAAUCGUUCUGUCCGUUGAACUUUCGAAUAACAGAUAGAAAUCUCAGCGAUAUCGGCACGAUAAUGCACGUAUCUGAGAUGUCACCGUUAAAAGGCUCCGUCUCUUGGACUGGUAAGCCGGUGUCUUAUUAUUUGCACGUUAUUGAUCGAACUAAAUUAGAACGUUACUUCCACCGCUUGAAGAACAAUAAACAAGGUGGCUUAGAUGAAAACUCUGAUUCUGUGAUAAGCAACACUGCCAGCAAUAGUAGUAAGGUUUCUAAUAGGAACGAUAGAAGUGACAGAGCCAAGAGAGAUCUUUCGAGGCAAUUAGAUAGCCCGAAUCAUUCGGAACAACUUGGAACAAAUAGCGAUUCCGAUCUGGACGACAGUACUAUGAAAAGUCGUCGGCAGCCGAAUAAGAUACGGAGGAAGCUUAACAGGAAGAGCAAUGGCAUUACGAAAGCUCCAGCUAGAGGCAGACAGAGAGGACGGGGUGUCAAAAGAGCUAAGCCUAAGAAGGCGAUUAAUAUUUCUGGGUUAGACCUGUUACACAGUCAAACUUUACUCAGUACAUCACCCCAGGCUCUCGGCAAGAAGCCGCCGCCUGCGCCUGGUUGUGUAGAUCAACAACUUUCUUCGUUAUCGCUUUCUUUGCAGUCGCAUUCCACCUCCGUACAUGAGGAACUUAGUAUACCACCUGCUCCGUCCGCGACUCCGUAUGCUUUACAGAUACUUCUGGACAUGUACAGGGACCAAUUCAUGAUUUUGUUAGAAUCGAUGAGGACUCCCAGUUACCGAGUAUCCGUCAAUACGGAUAUCUCCAAGGAAAGAGAAAGAAAUUCCAAGCUUCAGUCGAGAGCAGCGCAGUUGGAAAAACAGAUCAAGGUUCUGAUCGACGACAGCGUGGCUCUUUUAAAGGCGAGAAUGACUGAAUUGGGUAUCAAUGCUACAUCACCUGGAGAUCUACUGGCGAAGGCCAAGGAGAUAGUUUUGCGACACAAGCAGCUGCAAGCUAAAGCGAGCAAAUUGCAAGCGCAAGUUGCGUCCAUGGAAACUGAACAGAGCAGGCUAGUGGCGCUCAGACAUCAAGAAUUACAAGAAAAGUACAACAAUCACGCUAGUGCAAACGGCAUAUCGAAUCUAUCCCAAUCGCUCACGCAGGAUUAUAUAUUGAAAGAAAUUUCCGCUACUCUGUCCCAGCGCAAGCGAUUACAUUCUCAAGUUUCGAAACUUGAGCACGAGUUGAAUGUAUUAGAGAGGACAAGUAACGAGAAGCAAGCAGCUGCCAUGGCUCAGCAGCAGAGGAGCGAUGUAAUGGGAACUAAACUCGCGCAGAAUUUACAUCUUCAGUCGCAGGUCGGCAAGAGCGGAACAACGCGGAAAAAUCGAGAAGGCCGUACCAGGUCGCACGAAUGGCCCGACGUGCCGGACAUCGGGAAAAUACAGGAAAACAAUCCGGAGAUACUGGCGCAAAAGAUCUUGGAAACGGGAAGACAAAUCGAGGCAGGUCGAAUACAGAACAGACAGAAUACGAAUAUCAACAAUAAUUCCAGGACUAGAUUGCCGCAGGCGUCGCUCAGUUUCUCGACCACGUCAUCGUCUAUCUCAUCCACGCAAUCACAGAUAGUCAAUAAAGACGCGCUGAGUAGGACUCAAGAACCACCCAGAGUGGCUAAUUUCGAAGAUAGAUUGAAGAGCAUAAUCACAAGUGUGUUGAACGAAGACCAACAGAACAGAAACAAGCAGCAGCUGCAAUUGCAAGUGCAAAUGCAAAAUCAGUCCGAGCCUGAGAAGAAACGCCUCUCGUUGCCGCAGAAUGUCUCUACUCCGGAUUACACGCAGGUUUCACCCGCGAAACUAGCUCUUCGCCGUCAUCUAUCGCAAGAACGUCUCUCGUCAUCUCAUUUGACAUCAUCCGACAGACCGACGGUUGAUUCUAGACAAUCAUCGAGUCAUGACAAUCGCCUUGUGGCAGGUGGAAAUGGAUUGCUCGGUGCUAGAACAAUCGGCGAGCUCGUCAACGGGGAAAUUGAGAGGACCUUAGAGAUAUCCAAUCAGUCAAUAAUAAACGCCACUGUCGAUAUGAGCGCAAUGAUAAGACCGGAAACUGUGUAUUCGCCCAUUAGCAGGCCUGCGAGUGCUGAGGGUGACGCUGGUCUAUCGACUUUGGCGCAUGUAGCCAGUUACGCACCUAUCUCCUCCGGAAUUUCCACAUCCACUCCAACGACCAGUUCGAGAUCGUCUGUGCUCUUUACUCCGGUAACGCAACCUCAAAGAUACACGCCGGUUCAGUUGCCGCGAGCGGAUAUCAAGCCUUACCACGAAUCGUACUUUGCGGAUAAUCUCUCGCAGUCACAAACACAAUCCCAUCCCACAACACCGUCGCUACAUUCGUCUCAGAGCGCAUCGAACGGAGAAUUGUUACCUGUGGAAGGCCUCGCGGCCUCGUUGCACGCUCGAAUAUUGAACAACUCCAAUAGUAACAGCAAAGUCGACCUGACACUUUCCAACGGCAACAGAAGUUCUAGAUUUCAACCGUACUCGCGAUACACAUGCACCAGUAAUAAUAAUGCCAAUGCGACAACAAGCGGCACAGUGACGGCGCUUUGUCAGUCGCAACCUGCAGUGUCAAUAAAAACGGAAACAGUUGUAUCGUCGGUAAGCGGAGCAUCCUUGAGUCCUCUCGUGGAACCGCAUUCUAAUAUGUCGACACCGCUAGUCGACGAGCCCCAGAUGACGACGCGAAGGCAACGAAAUGCCAUGGCUGACGACGAUGCACUGUAGCUGUUUGUUGGUUAGCUCUGUCUGUCACAUACUCGAUCUCGCUCAGACAACUCCCUGAAGCUUGUUUUAUUAGAGAUUGAGACACACAGAUCAGAGGGAGAAAUGAAAAAGUACAGCUGCCUGUGGUUGGUUCGUCAGUACAAUUAGUCGCCGACGGAGAAGCCGAUUGGCAAGAUCGCAUCAGCUCGGGAUUCGAUCGCUUGGUCGCGUUUGCUUCUACAGAGUUGGACAAACGCAGGCGAUCUACCGAAGGAGUGAACACAAGUCCCGACAGCGGAUUAGGCUCGGACAGCGCGGUAACGGGGCCGCCGCCGGUAGUACCGUCGCCCGACGAAGCAUUA